CCUACGGGUGGCAGCAGUGAGGAAUAUUGGUCAAUGGUCGGGAGACUGAACCAGCCAAGCCGCGUGAGGGAUGAAGGUACAGAGUAUCGUAAACCUCUUUUGUCAGGGAACAAAGGCGGGGACGUGUCCCCGGAUGAGUGUACCUGAAGAAAAAGCAUCGGCUAACCCGGUGCCAGCACCCGCGGUAAUACGGAGGGUGCGAGCGUUAUCCGGAUUUAUUGGGUUUAAAGGGUGCGCAGGCGGUCUGUUAAGUCAGAGGUAAAAGCCCGGGGCUAAACCCGGGCCCGCCGUUGAAACUGGCAGUCUCGAGUUGGAGAGAGGUAGGCGGAAUGCGCGGUGUAGCGGUGAAAUGCAGAGAUAUCGCGCAGAACUCCGAUUGCGAAGGCAGCAUGCCGGCUCCACACUGACGCUGAGGCACGAAAGCGUGGGUAUCGAACAGGAUUAGAUACCCUAGUAGUC
rnacentral:rRNA from 1 species